UACGGAGGACGCAAGCGUUACUCGGAAUCACUGGGCGUAAAGAGCGUGUAGGCGGGUAAAUAAGUCAGAAGUGAAAUCCUAUAGCUUAACUAUAGAACUGCUUUUGAAACUGUAUACCUAGAGUGUGGGAGAGGUAGAUGGAAUUUCUGGUGUAGGGGUAAAAUCCGUAGAGAUCAGAAGGAAUACCGAUUGCGAAGGCGAUCUACUGGAACACAACUGACGCUGAGACGCGAAAGCGUGGGGAGCAAACAGG
rnacentral:rRNA from 1 species